UACGAAGGGUGCAAGCGUUACUCGGAAUUACUGGGCGUAAGCGUGCGUAGGUAGGUUCGUUAAGUCUGUCGUGAAAGCCCCGGGCUCAACCUGGGAAUGGCGAUGGAUACUGGCGAGCUAGAGUGCGGGUAGAAGGAGAGUGGAAUUCCCGGUGUAGCAGGUGAAAUGCGUAGAGAAUCGGGAGGAACAUCAGUUGCGAAGGCGGCUCUCUGGACCAGCACUGACACUGAGGCACGAAAGCGUGGGGAGCAACAGG
rnacentral:rRNA from 1 species